UCAGGAUGAACGCUGGCGGCGUGCUUAACACAUGCAAGUCGAACGAUGAUCCCAGCUUGCUGGGGGAUUAGUGGCGAACGGGUGAGUAACACGUGAGUAACCUGCCCUUAACUCUGGGAUAAGCCUGGGAAACUGGGUCUAAUACCGGAUAUGACUCCUCAUCGCAUGGUGGGGGGUGGAAAGCUUUAUUGUGGUUUUGGAUGGACUCGCGGCCUAUCAGCUUGUUGGUGAGGUAAUGGCUCACCAAGGCGACGACGGGUAGCCGGCCUGAGAGGGUGACCGGCCACACUGGGACUGAGACACGGCCCAGACUCCUACGGGAGGCAGCAGUGGGGAAUAUUGCACAAUGGGCGAAAGCCUGAUGCAGCGACGCCGCGUGAGGGAUGACGGCCUUCGGGUUGUAAACCUCUUUCAGUAGGGAAGAAGCGAAAGUGACGUACCUG
rnacentral:rRNA from 1 species